rfam:Marinobacterium stanieri strain DSM 7027 genome assembly, contig: Ga0111666_109
GGUGGGGUUCCCGAGUGGCCAAAGGGAUCAGACUGUAAAUCUGACGCGCAAGCUUCGGUGGUUCGAAUCCACCUCCCACCA